AUCAGAACAUUUUCAGGUCAUCUAAGGACCAAUGCAGUCAACUGAAAAGUCAACUGUGGGGUUUGAAGUGAGAAAUUGAGUUUCUUCAUCCCAUUCAUGUCCAAAGCAUGCUUAUUCAUCAUACCAAAGAUUAAGGUUGAAGAAUUUGAAGUCAAGUCAAAAGUUUCCAAAAAUGGAAAGUGACCUAUAAUUUCAACUUUCCAAAAAUGGCAAGUUUUUGAUCCAACUUCAACUCAGCUUUCCAACAUCAAAGAAGCUUCAAAUGAAUUUUUGUCCAAC
rnacentral:lncRNA from 1 species